AUUGAACGCUGGCGGCAUGCCUUACACAUGCAAGUCGAACGGUAACGGGCCUUCGGGUGCCGACGAGUGGCGGACGGGGGCGUAAUACAUCGGAACGCGCCCGAUCGUGGGGGAUAACGAGGCGAAAGCUUUGCUAACACCGCAUACGACCUACGGCUGAAAGCAGGGGAAAGCAAGGCCUCGUGCGGACGGAGCGGCCGAUGGCAGCUUAGGUAGGUUGAGGGAUAAAAGCUUACCAAGCCGACGCACUGUAGCUGGCCUGAGAGGAUGAUCAGCCACACUGGGACUGAGACACGGCCCAGACUCCUACGGGAGGCAGCAGUGGGGAAUAUUGGACAAUGGGCGCAAGCCUGAUCCAGCCAUGCCGCGUGCAGGAUGAAGGCCUUCGGGUUGUAAACUGCUUUUGUACGGAACGAAAAGCCUUCUUUUAAUACAGGGGGGUCAUGACGGUACCGUAAGAAUAAGCACCGGCUAACUACGUG
rnacentral:rRNA from 1 species